rnacentral:lncRNA from 1 species
UCACCUUGUACUCAGGGUUAUCUCUCUUCCGUAACAGCUCCAUUCCACAGGCCUGUGAUCACGGGCAAGCAGGACAACAACGGUGAGUAAUCAAUCGGAUAGACAGUACAUUAUACUACUGCCUGCUGGUUGAUGAAUUUUCAUGACCAAUGGCUACCUUCUCGUAGAAGCUUAUGGCGCGGUCGAGAUCGCCGACGCGGAGCAUCACCUGGCACAAGGGCUCUGGAGUGCCCGGCCUCUCAAGGAUCUCAAACUUGUAGCCGUUAGGGUCCUCGACGAAGGCGAUCACGGUCGUGCCGCCCUUGACGGGCCCGGG